rnacentral:lncRNA from 1 species
GCGAAAGCUGUUUUCCUCUUUACAAGGAUGGACGAAUGUUCGAAGCAGCGCAGAAAGACUGUGGGGUCCGCUCCACCCCGCAGGGACCACCUCCAGGGCGGGAGCCAGCCGAGGUGGUGGGGAAGGCAGGGUCCAUCCCACCCACCUUCCAGGCCAGAGGCCACCAGCUCACCAAGGGAUCCUGACCACUGAGACAGCCACGGUAUGCUAGGCAGGUUCAUGACUGUGUGUCCCUCUCUCCAGUGCUGAGCACCAGCCUCUUGUCCGGCCCCUCCACCCUUCUGUCUCUGUCUCCCUCCCUCCUCCUUCU